GCAAGAAAAGUGUGUUUACUUAAAUGUCAUUACUAUUUUACCACUGUUUUUCUUAUCUUUUUUCAAGAGGCCUCAACGAGUAGGGAAGUGGUGUUUCAGUGGCAGACGGGUGAGUAACACGUAAGAACCUAUCCUUGGGAGGGGAACAACAGCUGGAAACGGUUGCUAAUACCCCGUAGGCCGAGGAGCAAAAGGAGGAAUCCGUCCUAGGAGGGGCUCUCGUCUGAUUAGCUAGUUGGUGAGGCAAUAGCUUACCAAGGCGAUGAUCAGUAGCUGGUCCGAGAGGAUGAUCAGCCACACUGGGACUGAGACACGGCCCAGACUCCCACAGGAGGCAAUAGUGGGGAAUUUUCCGCAAUAGGCGAAAGCCUGACGGAGCAAUGUCGCGUGAAGGUAGAAGGCCUACUGGUCAUGAACUUCUUUUCCCGGAGAAGAAGCAAUGACGGUAUCCGGGGAAUAAGCAUCGGCUAACUCUGUGCCAGCAGCCGCGGUAAGACAGAGGAUGCAAGC
rnacentral:ncRNA from 1 species